CCCUUAGAUGUUCUGGGCCGCACGCGCGCUACACUGACGAAUGCAACGAGCUUAUAACCUUGGCCGAAAGGUCUGGGUAAUCUCCAAAUUUCGUCGUGAUGGGGAUAGAUUAUUGCAAUUAUUAGUCUUCAACGAGGAAUGCCUAGUAAGCGCAAGUCAUCAGCUUGCGUUGAUUACGUCCCUGUCCUUUGUACACACCGCCCGUCGCUCCUACCGAUUGAAUGGUCCGGUGAAGCGCUCGGACCGCGGCCUCUUGACGGUUCGCUGUCGAUUGGCUGUGGGAAGUUCGUUAAACCUUAUCAUUUAGAGGAAGGAGAAGUCGUAACA
rnacentral:rRNA from 1 species